GUGGACCCUUCCUGAUGCCCACACCGAGAGCCCACUUUCCUAAAACCUGCUAGUUAAACGGUUUGCACCAAGUCCCCCAAAGCCUCUGGCGGUGAGAGCCUGAGGACCAGGACCGGGGCCGGGCAGGGUGCAGCCCGCUGUGGGCAUGAGCCGGUGGGCCCCGGAUGGCUGGGGUCAGGAGCAGAAGCCAGCGCUCUGGGUGUAGCGAGGUGGCCCUUACGUAUCUUCAAGUCCUUUUGUCCUGUUUUCAGAAUUUGGAAGGUGCCCUAAUUUUAUUCUUAACUCUUUAAAAAUAGCUUUAUAACUCACACACCAUACGAUCCACCCAUUUAAAAUGUGCAGUUCAAGCGCGUGGGUUUGUUCAUAGACGCCACACCCGGCACAGCCCUCAGCUCGGCCCACUGGAGGCGUUUCCAUCUCCUGCAGCUGCCCCCCGCCCCCCAGCUCCUGGCAGCCACUUAUCUCCUCUCUGUAAACGGAUUGACCCUUUCUGGACCUUUCACGGGGACCUUUGCAUCCGGCUGCUUUCGUCUGGCGGGAUGUUUUCGAGGUUCGCCCGUGUUGCGGCGGGUGUCCCAACUCCCUUCUUUCGCCGGCUGAGUAUGUCCCGCGAGUGGAGGGACCACAUUUAAUCUCAUCCGCUGACGGAAGGUACCUUCUGUCACCUUUGGGCUCUGUGACUAACUCUGCCCUGAACACAGGCUCACCUUCUCUGGGGCGCACACCCUGGAGCGGAAUUGCCGGCUCACGUGCUCCCUGCAGGGGGAGCGUCGGGGAACCGUGGGGCUGUGGUCCAACGCGGCUGCACGGCUAGGCGUCCCCACCCCAUGCAGAGCCCGCGGCUCCAUCGCGCCCCUCCCAGCGCUGCCCACCCCGUCUUUGGUUCUGGCCGUCCUAGAGGACGUCCCCGGUUCUUGGGGCUCCCAGCACGUCCCAAGGAAAGGCUGAAGCAGCCUCUCUCUUUAGGCCCAAACCAAGUCCUGGUUCCAAAGAUUGAGUGGAUGAGCCAGGCCUGCUGAUGGUAGACACAGUUAACGCGGAGAACUUGGUCGAAAUCACAGUCUUCGGACGACCAACUGUACAACAUCGGGUGAAGAACGUCCUCCUUAGCCUAGCGUCGAGGCACCGAGAGCAUCGUGCCCGAGCUGAAAAGAUGGAACAACUCGAGGAGUUCUUGAAGGCCCUUGCAUCAGGUCCCUAGAACCCCCAGCAUCCUGUUGCAUAAGCAUUGUCAGGAGCAUGAGAACAGUCCUGCUUCUGCUACUCAAGUUCAAGAGAAGCAAAUAUCCUUAAAUCUCUGCAUUUUUUUCCUGUGUCCUGAUGGUUUAUUAUUUUGAUGUAAAUGUGAGUUUGUAAUGCCACUGAGUAAAUAAAUGAAUUUCCUUUUUUGUUCAA